rnacentral:rRNA from 1 species
ACGGAGGGUGCAAGCGUUGUCCGGAAUCAUUGGGCGUAAAGAGUUCGUAGGUGGUAUGUUAAGUCUGGUGUUAAAGCCCGAAGCUCAACUUCGGUUCGGCACUGGAUACUGGCAAACUUGAAUGUGGUAGAGGUAAAGGGAAUUCCUGGUGUAGCGGUGAAAUGCGUAGAUAUCAGGAGGAACACCGGUGGCGAAGGCGGUUUACUGGAACAUUACUGACGCUGAGGUACGAAAGCCGGGGUAGCAAAUGG